GAUCAUGGCUCAGGAUGAACGCUAGCUACAGGCUAACACAUGCAAGUCGAGGGGCAGCAUUGGAGUAGCAAUACUCAGAUGGCGACCGGCGCACGGGUGAGUAACACGUAUCCAACCUGCCGCUUACUCGGGGAUAGCCUUUCGAAAGAAAGAUUAAUACCCGAUGGUAUAAAGAGUUCGCAUGUUCUCUUUAUUAAAGAAUUUCGGUAAGCGAUGGGGAUGCGUUCCAUUAGAUUGUUGGCGGGGUAACGGCCCACCAAGUCUACGAUGGAUAGGGGUUCUGAGAGGAAGGUCCCCCACAUUGGAACUGAGACACGGUCCAAACUCCUACGGGAGGCAGCAGUGAGGAAUAUUGGUCAAUGGACGAGAGUCUGAACCAGCCAAGUAGCGUGAAGGAUGACUGCCCUAUGGGUUGUAAACUUCUUUUAUAAGGGAAUAAAGUGAGGGACGUGUCCCUUUUUGUAUGUACCUUAUGAAUAAGGAUCGGCUAACUCCGUGCCAGCCGCAGC
rnacentral:rRNA from 1 species